rnacentral:rRNA from 1 species
UAAGGAAUAUUGCGCAAUGGGCGAMAGCCUGACGCAGCGACGCCGCGUGGGGGAUGAAGGUCUUCGGAUUGUAAACCCCUUUCGGGAGGGAAGAUGGRGCRRGCAAUCGYUCGGACGGUACCUCCAGAAGCAGCCACGGCCAACUUCGUGCCAGCAGCCGCGGUAAUACGAAGGUGGCAAGCGUUGUUCGGAUUCACUGGGCGUACAGGGUGUGUAGGCGGUUUGGUAAGCCUUCUGUUAAAUCUUCGGGCCCAACCCGGAAAGCGCAGAGGGKACUGCCAGGCUAGAGGGCGGGAGAGGAGCGCGGAAUUCCCGGUGUAGCGGUGAAAUGCGUAGAGAUCGGGAGGAAGGCCGGUGGCGAAGGCGGCGCUCUGGAACGUACCUGACGCUGAGACACGAAAGCGUGGGGAGCAAACAGGAUUAGAUACCCUGGUAGUCCACGCCCUAAACUAUGGAUACUAAGUGUCGGCGGGUUACCGCCGGUGCCGCAGCUAACGCAUUAA